rnacentral:rRNA from 1 species
AUUGAACGCUGGCGGCAGGCUUAACACAUGCAAGUCGAGCGGGAAUAGGUAGCCUGCUACCGAUUUCUAGCGGCGGACGGGUGAGUAAUGCUUAGGAAUCUGCCUAUUAGUGGGGGACAACAUUUCGAAAGGGAUGCUAAUACCGCAUACGUCCUACGGGAGAAAGCAGGGGACCUUCGGACCUUGCGCUAAUAGAUGAGCCUAAGUCGGAUUAGCUAGUUGGUGGGGUAAAGGCCUACCAAGGCGACGAUCUGUAGCGGGUCUGAGAGGAUGAUCCGCCACACUGGGACUGAGACACGGCCCAGACUCCUACGGGAGGCAGCAGUGGGGAAUAUUGGACAAUGGGGGGAACCCUGAUCCAGCCAUGCCGCGUGUGUGAAGAAGGCCUUUUGGUUGUAAAGCACUUUAAGCGAGGAGGAGGCUACUUUGGUUAAUACCUAAAGAUAGUGGACGUUACUCGCAGAAUAAGCACCGGCUAACUCUGUGCCAGCCGCCGCCGUAA